rnacentral:pre_miRNA from 1 species
AGGAGGAACAACCGCAGUGGCUGCAGCCAGCUUUGGAGCCCUGGAGUCAGCUCACAGUAACUACAGAGCUCUCAGUCUGCAGGGGCCUGGAGGCCCCGGGGGCGG